UACGUAGGGUGCGAGCGUUGUCCGGAAUUAUUGGGCGUAAAGAGCUCGUAGGCGGUCUGUCGCGUCGGUCGUGAAAACUUGGGGCUUAACCCUGAGCUUGCGGUCGAUACGGGCAUGACUGGAGUUCGGUAGGGGAGACUGGAAUUCCUGGUGUAGCGGUGAAAUGCGUAGAUAUCGGGAGGAACACCAGUGGCGAAAGCGGCUACCUGGCCCAUUCUUGACGCUGAGGCGCGAAAGCUAGGGGAGCAAACGGG
rnacentral:rRNA from 1 species